ensembl:lncRNA
CAAAAGUUAUCCCUAACUACAAAGACACAUCACUGCCUCAGGCUGAUGCAAAAGACACUAUUGUCAGAUUGCUCUGAGAAAUCUGGACCUGCCUCUAUCCUCACUGUCUGAAUACUUGUUUCAAAAGAGCAGCCUCAUCACUGCCUACCAGAAGUAUGACUGGCUGGUCUCCCACUGCUGUUUCUUAGCAUGAGUAAGAAAUCCCACUACAUGCUGUUUUCAGCCUGUCUAAAUGUUUAUUUUCUGCUUUAGCUGCAAAUCUUACACUUCUUUCUCCAGUUUUUUUUCCAUUGUGUUAAAAUACUGAGUAAGUGCUCUGGUCUACACUAGGUCACACAUUCUUUUUAAAGAUUGUUGUUGGAGACCUUGUACUUGCUAGUCUUAUGUAACAUGAUGAAGUUUUUCAGAGAAAUAAAUUGAGCGAAAAUAUCAUUUAGUAUAGCUUAACGCAGGUCCAAAGACUGAGGAAAAUCACACCAUGAAAAAAUAAAAGUAAAAAUUAAAAAGGCACACCUUUUUCUUUUUCCUUUUUCUGUUCUACAGCAUUAUACAGAACGUGGCUUUGUCCAGGCACUCCCCUACUCAAUUAUUUCAGUGGACCUACAUUGCCUACUGAGAAAAGGAGAAAUACUGUGUCCUGUGUGCUGAUGACAAGUUAGCGACUUUGUACAAUUGAUUUAGUCCUCAGAAACCUGCUACUCUACUUUCCCAAUAGUGCAUGUAGCCAUAAAUGGACAAGUUUGGCUUUCUAUACCCUUUGCAGCAUUAAGCUCAUAUCCCUCUAUGCCUUCAUGGACUCCACCUCCUAGCCACAGUCAUCCACUUUGGUUUCUAUGUUUUUCUCAUCAUUGAGAGUUUGCUCAUGUGGUUCCUCCCUGCACCCCCUCCCAAAAAUGCCCUUCUCCUUGUAUUUCACCUUCAGAUCCUAAGAUUCUAGCACUCCCUUAUUCAUGCAGCUUCCUGUUAUCUCUCUGUUGUGCUCCAAGCUGCUACUCCAAGCACAUUCUGAUCGCUCCCUCCUCUGAAUGGCUAAUGGCCAAAAUAAGAUUAUUCAGAAAAUCGAUUCUACAAACCCUUCAAUUUUUGGUUUCUUCCAUCGCUCUUAAG